ACGAACGCUGGCGGCGUGCCUAAUACAUGCAAGUAGAACGCUGAAGAGAGGAGCUUGCUCUUCUUGGAUGAGUUGCGAACGGGUGAGUAACGCGUAGGUAACCUGCCUUGUAGCGGGGGAUAACUAUUGGAAACGAUAGCUAAUACCGCAUAACAAUGGAUGACCCAUGUCAUUUAUUUGAAAGGGGCAAAUGCUCCACUACAAGAUGGACCUGCGUUGUAUUAGCUAGUAGGUGAGGUAACGGCUCACCUAGGCGACGAUACAUAGCCGACCUGAGAGGGUGAUCGGCCACACUGGGACUGAGACACGGCCCAGACUCCUACGGGAGGCAGCAGUAGGGAAUCUUCGGCAAUGGGGGCAACCCUGACCGAGCAACGCCGCGUGAGUGAAGAAGGUUGUCGGAUCGUAAAGCUCUGUUGUAAGUCAAGAACGAGUGUGAGAGUGGAAAGUUCACACUGUGACGGUAGCUUACCAGAAAGGGACGGCUAACUACGUG
rnacentral:rRNA from 1 species